rnacentral:rRNA from 1 species
CUUUCGGCCACCAUUUUACCCAUAACCGUUCUAAGGGUAAUUGGAAGGUUAAAACCCUAUUUAUUAACCAAUAAGUACAAGAACCUUUUCAAACCAACCGGGAGCUCUGGCUUUCCCACCAUCCGAGAAGACCGCAGCCGAAAUCGAUUAAGGUAAUGUGAAUUUGCAGAAUUUCAGUGAAUUCUUCGAGUUCUUUGAACCGCACCCUUGCGCCCCUUUGGAUUCCGAAGGGCCAUGCCUGUUUGAGUGUCAGAAACCCUCAACCCCCUCAGGUUUUAUUAUCUGUUGGGCUUUGGAUUUGGGUGUCGCCGCGACCCGCAAAGGACGUCGGUCUGCCUUAAAGGUUAGUAGAAGUGACAACCGUCAGCCUGGGUAAUAAGUUUCGCUGGGUCUUGGGGUAGUCUUCGGCUGCUCAUAACGACCAUCUUAUAAUCUGUACCUCAAAUCGAGUGAGCCUACCGCCUACUACC